rnacentral:tmRNA from 1 species
GGGGACGAUUAUGGAUUCGACGGGCAAGUGAAGGAUGUAAACUGCGAUUCGGGAUUCCGGUUACCCCGUGAUUAGCCGGAAAGCACAAUAAGUGCCGAUAAUAAUUACGCACUGGCAGCUUAAUUGACUGUCACGUUUCUCCGACUCCAAUCCACCGGGGUUGGAAGAAACGCCACUUUGGGUGGAUUAAACAGGACGCAUGCCUGUGGCGUGCUGUUUAACAUUAACAGGCUGGUUAACAUGUGUGGCUGGUGGUUCCGCCUGCAUGUUGAUGAGAUUUAAGGAAUCACUAUAAUCGUAGGCGUUUGCAUUGGUCCUUGUCCGGACCCGGGUUCAACUCCCGGCGUCUCCACUU